rnacentral:tRNA from 1 species
UUCAACUCCAGAGAAGAGCA